GAGGAAGUCGCGCUCGCCGAGCUCGGGGGCAUUUCUGCAUUCUUUUCCAGAAGAGGACGGCCCUCCGCGGCGCCCCUCGGUCCCCGCGCUCUGCCAAGGAGCGGGGGCGGGAGCCGCGCGCCCAGCCGCGGCCCAGAUGGCGGAGCAGCCCCGAGCGGGGACAUUUUCUCAGGCUUUCAAAAAGAGCACUUUCUUUCCUGCCUAAUAUUUAGCUCCUUCAAAUGCAAAUGGAGAGGUUGCGCUCCAAGGUGAGCUGGAAUGCCUGUUCUGAGCGAGCCAGAGUAAGCAAGUGCGCUGUAUUACCUGACAGGCACCGAGCAGGGGUUCUGAGCACUGCACCGCGCAGAAUCACUGGAGCGGCUAGUUAAAACAAGAAUUGCUGGAUCUCAUCUCCAAUGCUCUGAUUCUGAGGUUUUGGUAGAACCUGAGAAUUUCCAUUUCUUACAAGUUACCAGAGAUGUUCAUGGCCUCUUUCCCAGACCACACUUGAAGAACCAUUGGCCUAAACAAAUCAGAGAAAUAUGCAACUUUUGUGAUUUUGAGAGAAUCCAAUAUAAGAUUUUCCUUUUAGCAGGAAUAGCUUAAAAAAAGAAAGGAAGAA
rnacentral:lncRNA from 1 species